GCCUAUGUAGCUCAAUUGGUUAGAGCGCUGCACCGGAAUCGCAGGGCCGUAGGUUCAAUUCCUACCAGAGGCU
rnacentral:tRNA from 1 species